rnacentral:rRNA from 1 species
GACGAACGCUGGCGGCGUGCUUAACACAUGCAAGUCGAACGGAAAGGCCCUGCUUUUGCGGGGUGCUCGAGAGGCGAACGGGGGAGUAACACGUGAGUAACCUGCCCUUGAAUUUGGGAUAAAUUCAGGAAACUGGGGCUAAUACCGGAUAGGAGCUCCUGCUGCACGGUGGGGGUUGGAAAGUUUCGGCGGUUGGGGAUGGACUCGCGGCUUAUCAGCUUGUUGGUGGGGUAGUGGCUUACCAAGGCUUUGACGGGUAGCCGGCCUGAGAGGGUGGCCGGCCUCAUUGGGACUGAGAUACGGCCCAGACUGCUACGGGAGGCAGCAGUGGGGAAUAUUGCGCAAUGGGCGGACGCCUGAUGCAGCAACGCCGCGUGCGGGAUGCCGGCCUUCGGGUUGUAAACCGCUUUCGCCUGUGACGAAGCGUGAGUGACGGUAAUGGGUAAAGAAGCACCGGCUAACUACGUG